rnacentral:rRNA from 1 species
CAGUCGCCACGGUAAUACGUAGGGUGCGAGCGUUAAUCGGAAUUACUGGGCGUAAAGCGUGCGCAGGCGGUUCGUUAAGACAGAUGUGAAAUCCCCGGGCUUAACCUGGGAACUGCAUUUGUGACUGGCGAGCUAGAGUAUGGCAGAGGGGGGUAGAAUUCCACGUGUAGCAGUGAAAUGCGUGGAGAUGUGGAGGAAUACCGAUGGCGAAGGCAGCCCCCUGGGCCAAUACUGACGCUCAUGCACGAAAGCGUGGGGAGCAAACAGGAUUAGAUACCCGUGUAGUCCCUGUCUCUUAUAA